UUUCUGGUCUCCCGCACCCCAACUUUAUGGUCUCGGUCUCCUGGGGAAGCUAAAGAACAGAAGGCAGAGUGGUUUCUUGGUCUCCCGGUACUGAGAGCCCUCUGGGAAGUGGGCGAUGGGAGAGAUGCUAAUCACCACAGAUCGCUGCUGCUCCAGGCUGAAGGUCAGGAGCACUCGGGAAGUAUGACAAGUAGAAGACUGAAGUUCAGUGCCAUCCUUGACUAUAUACAGAGUUUGAAGCUACCUGGACUACAUGAAACCUUGGCUCAAAAACAAACAAAAAGGACCCCUCAAGUCAGCGCUCACCACCACCAAAAAAGCUCAUCAAAAACUCAUCUCACUGACAACUCUUACAGCAAUACGAAAACUUCCCAGUGAGUGUGCGACAUUUCAGCACCGAGGAUAAAAAUAUCAAAGGGCAAAUGCCCCUGGAAAGUGUGCCACGUGCUCCUGAGUCCCCAGCUCCCCUAGGAACCAAGAUUGCAUCCCCACUCCAGGGUCCUGUCUCCAUAGCUUUCAACACGCUGUGGGGAUGCAGCCAUGUUAUCUGAAUUUCCACACGUUCCCCUUGCCUCAGCAUCUGGAGGGAGCCCCAGUGUGCACAGGUGGGGAGACAGCUCAAGCAGUGGAGGAGCUUCUCGACAGUCAUUAGCGAACUGGAUUCCCAAUGUUGUCCUUUGACUUCCCCGUGAAUGCUUUGGCGUACACACACCACUGAAAUA